AAAGCGUAGUCGAUGGGAAACAGGUUAAUAUUCCUGUACUUCUGGUUAUUGCGAUGGAGGGACGGAGAAGGCUAGGCCAGCUUGGCGUUGGUUGUCCAAGUUUAAGGUGGUAGGCUGGAAUCUUAGGUAAAUCCGGGAUUCUAAGGCCGAGAGCUGAUGACGAGUUAUCUUUUAGAUGACGAAGUGGUUGAUGCCAUGCUUCCAAGAAAAGCUUCUAAGCUUCAGGUAACCAGGAACCGUACCCUAAACCGACAC
rnacentral:rRNA from 1 species